UCCUCAGCCUCUCCCGGAGAGGUGCCUGCCGGUGCUGCCCUGGGCCACACCAGGUUUUGCUGCAGAGAAUGCAACUUCUCCCCACUUCGGAGACCGCGACUUGGUGUGUCUUGAUUGUUGAGCUGCUUGUGCAGUUGCUUGUUCUGCUAGAGAUUAUAGCAUUUCUUUCGUCUUCCCAGCUCCUGCAGUGAGGUGAGGAUGCCCCUGUUCUGAGGAGCCUCGGGUAGGGUGCUGGGGCUUGUCUGAUUCAGAGUUGGAGCUGAAAUGAAUCCGUUAUACAGAGAAGAAAGCUGAGUCCCCGCCAAGGUCAAGUGACUGACACAGACCCACAUAGCUGGUCCAGACUUAAGGUUCUGGAUCCCGGGUCCAUUCAUCCCAUUAUUCCCCAACCUUUCCUGUUGCUGUGGCAACAACAAAAGGGGCCAGAGAGGGUUAAUCCUAGUACUUUCCAUGCAGCCGCCGUGUAACCUACUGCACCCAGCACCCUACACGCAUGGAUUCUUGUCUGUGCAUUACAGCUGUGGCCCAGAAUGGAUGGUUCUGUUGUCUGACCCCAGAGUCCCUGAGUGUCCCACAAAACUAUCCUGUUCCUUUGGAUUUUCUUGAUCUCUUUUUGCAUCACCACAGGUUUCUUUGACUCCAGAAACAGCCCAUUCGUGUCAACCAAAAUUCUAAAUUCAGCACCUCAGAAGUAUGACCAGCCGGACAGAACUGAACCUAAGUCCCACUGGCCCCUACUUUUAGUGGACAAAAAGGUCUCACGGGCUCCGUCUCUCCCAGGAAUCUGAGGAGUUCAGAGAUCAGGAGAGGGGCUCGCACACAGCAAAGCCUGGCCUGGCAGAGAGCGGGUGGGCGAGCCUCACCCUGAGAAGGCGUUUCUUCCUCUUUAUGGCCGUGGUCCUUUUUCAUGUUAGAUGCUUUGGUCUCCCAGGUGUAUGGGGACCCGGGACCCGUGGGUUUUGGAGUGCUUGUCAUGACUAGGGCCAGCUUUGGGGACAGGGUGGGGAUGACUACUCCCAGGUUCUCAAGAGGAAAAAAGUUCUGUACGUUUCAGAACUGCAAUAGAUCUGUUAUCAGCUCCACGCACUGCAAAACGCAAGUUCCUUUCCUAUUUGAUCUGACAGUGAAAAAAUUCACGGAUGUUUUAUUGGAAGGUUAGAAAAUAAAAAAGAACCCCUUCUCAGUCCAGGUAGUCUGCCCCCCAUCACCUUGGCGUGUCUGCAGCUGUGCUGGGCCUCGGCUUGUGGGUGGAUGAGGAGACAAGGCUCAGCGUGGAGCAGGGGGAGGCUGGGAGGCCUUUGCUCUGCAGCCCCACCCACAGGCUCAGCAGGGUGGGCCCCUGUGCUAACACUCCCCCCCACCCUGCCCCUCAGUUCUUGUUUCCAUCUACCUUCGUCCCUCUCACCAGUCCCAACGCAGAGGGCCAGGUUUGCUUUACUUUUCUUAACGACCUGUCUUUUUCUAGUUAGGAAAAAUAACACUUAUUUACUACCUCUUGUACAGUUUGGAAAUACAUCAAAUAUAUACAAAAAAAUUAAAUCUGGCUGGAUGUGGUGGCUUGUGCCUAUAAUCCCAGCACUUUGGUAGACCGAGGCAGGCAGUUCACCUGGCUGUUGGUCAGGAGUUCAAGACCAGUCUGGCAAAUGUAAUGAAACAACGUCUCUACUAAAAAUACAAAAAUUAGCCAGGUGUGGUGGCAGGUGCCUGUAAUCCCAACUACUCAGGAGGCUGAGGCAGGAGAAUUGCUUGAACCCAGGAGGUGGAGGUUGCGGUGAGCCGAGAUCGAGCCAUUGCACUUCAGCCUGGGUGACAGAGCGAGACUCCGUCUCAAGAAAGAAAAAAAAAUUAAAUAAGCCCAGAAUCCCACAAGGCAGAGGUCUCCCCAGUAAUCCCCAGCUGCGGAGGCUGUGUGCCUCACUUGUGUGCCAACUGAUGACCUCCUCAGCACAACCAGUUAAACCUUUAUUUAUUUCAGCUUUUUUCUUUCUUUAUAAAGCUUUUUCCCCCUUCACUGUGAAGAUAGCAUGCUCAUUGGAGACAAUUUGGAAAGCACAGAAAGAUAUUUUCAUGUUUCUUUAAGCAAAGAGAGGACAUUUAUUCCCAUCUCCCCAAGGUGACUGCCAUGAGCAGUUUGGAGUAGCUCCUGGUCUUUGUGGACUUUUGAAAAAGCGUAUGUUCUCCAGGCGCGGUGGCUCACACCUGUAAUCCCAGCUCUUUGGGAGGCCAAGGCGGGCAGAUCACAAGGUCAGAUCAAGACCAGCCUGGCCAACAUGGUGAAACCCCGUCUCUACUAAAGAUACAAAAAUUAGCUGGACACGAUGGCAUGCACCUGUAAUCCCAGCUACUCUGGAGGCUGAGGCAGGAGAAUCACUUGAACCUGGGAGGCAGAGGCUGCAGUGAGCCAAGAUUGCACCACUGCACUCCAGCCUGGGCAACAGAGCAAGACUCUGGCUCAAAAAAAAAAAAAAAAAAAAAAAAAA
ensembl:lncRNA